rnacentral:rRNA from 1 species
AGCGGCGGAUGGGUGAGUAACACGUGGGGAACCUGCCCCUAAGUCUGGGAUACCAUUUGGAAACAGGUGCUAAUGCCGGAUAAUAAAGCAGAUCGCAUGAUCAGCUUUUGAAAGGCGGCGUAAGCUGUCGCUAAGGGAUGGCCCCGCGGUGCAUUAGCUAGUUGGUAAGGAAACGGCUUACCAAGGCGACGAUGCAUAGCCGAGUUGAGAGACUGAUCGGCCACAUUGGGACUGAGACACGGCCCAAACUCCUACGGGAGGCAGCAGUAGGGAAUCUUCCACAAUGGACGCAAGUCUGAUGGAGCAACGCCGCGUGAGUGAAGAAGGUUUUCGGAUCGUAAAGCUCUGUUGUUGGUGAAGAAGGAUAGAGGUAGUAACUGGCCUUUAUUUGACGGUAAUCAACCAGAAAGUCACGGCUAACUACGUGCCAGCAGCCGUGGUAAUACGUAGGUGGCAAGCGUUGUUCGGAUUUAUUGGGCGUAAAGCGAGCGCAGGCGGAAAAAUAAGUCUAAUGUGAAAGCCCUCGGCUUAACCGAGGAACUGCAUCGGAAACUGUUUUUCUUGAGUGCAGAGGAGGAGAGUGGAACUCCAUGUGUAGCGGUGGAAUGCGUAGAUAUAUGGAAGAACACCAGUGGCGAAAGCGGCUCUCUGGUCUGCAACUGACGCUGAGGCUCGAAAGCAUGGGUAGCGAACAGGAUUAGAUACCCUGGUAGUCCAUGCCGUAAACGAUGAGUGCUAAGUGU